rnacentral:rRNA from 1 species
AUUGAACGCUGGCGGCAGGCUUAACACAUGCAAGUCGAGCGGAGGAAGGUAGCUUGCUACUGGACUUAGCGGCGGACGGGUGAGUAAUGCCUAGGAAUCUGCCUGGUAGUGGGGGACAACGUUUCGAAAGGAACGCUAAUACCGCAUACGUCCUACGGGAGAAAGCAGGGGACCUUCGGGCCUUGCGCUAUCAGAUGAGCCUAGGUCGGAUUAGCUAGUUGGUGAGGUAAUGGCUCACCAAGGCGACGAUCCGUAACUGGUCUGAGAGGAUGAUCAGUCACACUGGAACUGAGACACGGUCCAGACUCCUACGGGAGGCAGCAGUGGGGAAUAUUGGACAAUGGGCGAAAGCCUGAUCCAGCCAUGCCGCGUGUGUGAAGAAGGUCUUCGGAUUGUAAAGCACUUUAAGUUGGGAGGAAGGGCAGUAAGCUAAUACCUUGCUGUUUUGACGUUACCGACAGAAUAAGCACCGGCUAACUCUGUGCCAGCAGCCGCAGUAAAAC